GGGCUUUUUACCUUAUUGGCCGUUACUGGAUUCGGAAGGUUUUACUCUACCUACAGAGUCUGUAGCACUCUGGUAGUACACGCGGGGCUACUCCGUACUUCAACGGUACUGUCGAAGGCUAGGCAUCCUUUUGGUCUUUACUCCGUCUAUCCACUCAAACUCGUGGCGUUUCGCCUCGAGUGGUCCUUGAAGGCUUAGAAGCCUUUCAAGGGCCCCAUCAGAUGAUGGGCCGGCUCGAUUGUACUACUCUCUGUACUACGGACGGAGUAGAGAGAGUCGUAGACGAGAACUAAACCUGACUGAUACCCGUAUACGGAGUGCCUCCGUAGCACAACAGUUGCCUUUAACAGGAACUUUUGUCGGGAGUCUCAAUCCAGUGCAACAAAUCGACUCAAGCCAAGACUUUGCUACUGACGCCACAGCCUGAUGACGGUCGAAUCACACACUGACGGAUUCUACCCAGUACGUAACUGGAAGAAACACAAAUGGAGGUUGAGCAUAGGUACGAUGUGCAUGCAUUAACCACGGCCGCUGACCAGCGAGAAUCCAUAUUUCGGGGGGGUUUCCAAGAGCACAAAGAAUUUACUCCGUAGUUAGACGUCCAAUCUCUGCAUUCUAUUGACACAUUCAACGGAUCGGCUAUCCACGACACUUUUCUUUUUCCUCUACUAACCCAACCAUGAUGGGCGGUGGCCCGUGAUGGCCCCGUGACGAUCCGGUUGGACCCGUUCACCUUUUGCUUGACUUUGAAGUUUGUGGCAUGUGUCGGUCAGAAAGGGAAGAAAAAACUUGCAUUAGGCUAGUGUGACUAAGUGGGCUCAGUUAGUUAGCUAGUCAACUAGUUAACUACUCGGUACGGAGUAGUAGAACUUGGGAUCAGGGGAAAGCAAAAAGCCAAGUCAGGGUGUGAAACGCUUGGUGUAUCAGCCCCCGCCAGCCACGGAGGAGAACUCGAUUGUUCCGGUUGAUCUAAUUGGUUGGUUUGUGUCCUUCUCUACAACUUACUCGCCGAGUUGCCUCUUUACCUCUUUACCUCUCACACUUCUCGAGUAAAGAAACAAACGUUUACAGUCUCUAGACAAGAAAGCGUUGUUCAGCUCAAGUGCCCGCGCCAACCCACAAUGUGAUAGUCUUGUUCUAUUUGUGCAACCUCAAGAUUACCCCUGAGCAACGCAUACGAAGCUCAAUCUUCAGUCUGCUUUCGACUUAACCGAAUACCACAUCCAUGGUAUAUCUAUCUUCUAUAGACAAUAAAUCGUAUAGGCGCCGGCCGGCCCCUCAAUGCCAAGAUGCCACAUAGAUUAAUAACCGCGCAUACUAUUGAGCGGAGUCCAGAGUAGCAGGCACUCUGUAGGUCUGGUCUGGUGGCACGGAGCACACAACGUACAAAGUGCAAUGCGAACUGGUACAUUUUUCAAUGCAAAAACGGAUACACGGAUAACGCUGGAUGUGGUCUUUGAAUGGUCAAGGAAAUACGAAGCAGCCAGUUACACAUCCCUACGAUUCCUAUCUAACUGGUCACUUCUAGACCCUGUGUAGUCCGCUUUUUGCCGGUGUGCUUUGCCGGUUGUCAGUUGUCCGUGUCGGCGAAAAUCGAUAUAUCCUUGUCAUCCUGUUCCUGUUCCUGUUCCGGGGAACUUACUCUGUGCCUACCUAGUACAUACACCCCAACCAUCCAGUUUCAGACCUGUAUGUUUAUGCAGCCACCGGUCACACAUGGUCAGAAUGCCGGCAUUCGCCUAACUAUACUACAACCUAAGUAUAGACACACUAUAGACGAUACUAUGUAGUACUAUGUAGUACGUGCCGUCCUUGGAAUCCCUGGAUCUCCUUUAUGUGCCCACGCAUAGUUAUAGAGGGAUUUUUUGUGUCCGAUCGAUCCAGUGGUUCGUGGUUCCCUACUACCAGUACCUCUAGCAGAAACGGGCAGGAUCCCUUAUAUCAACUGUGUCACCCUUUUCUCUCCUGUUGGUUACCGGGUUAUUCGUUGAGUAAAAUGUUACUCCGUGUCAUAAGUUCUGACAAUGAAUAAAUACAUCGCAAGGGUGGCUGCCUGAACCCAUGUAAUUUCUACCUCUGUCUUGUUCCUAACCAGACCCCCGGAGUGUAGGCAAAUUAUACAGUACCUAUGGCCGGACUAUGAUCUGGAACCGGAGGGCUCCCCAUCCCUGAAUUUUUCACUUGAGAAUAUGAAAGAAGAGCACUCCAAUUAGCUCUAUUACCCCAUUUCAUUCCUCAUGAU
rnacentral:lncRNA from 1 species